rnacentral:lncRNA from 1 species
AUACAAAAAGUAAGGUUUACCUUUUCUGAUUUUCUGAGUUUAGCAGAGCCUGCAUCUGAUUGAGGUGCCACUGACGACGGUCUGCCCUGGAUGGAGGAGGGAGCGGUUGAAUCACAGCCUCGAGAACACAUGAGAAACCUUCCCAGCCAUCUCUCCAUCAGGCUAAUGAUCCAAAGAAUACUGAGGAGAAUGCUUCCCAGCAUUAGUCUCAAUCAUUAAAUCCUGGAGAAAGAGUAUGAUUUGUGCAUUAUGGGACUGUAAUUCACCUCUACCACCUUGACAGUGAUUGACACUCUCAAAUCCUACACCAAGGGUUUGGGUAGCUGUCCAAAGAGAUACAGAAGUACAACGGCUCCAAAAUGAACCAUGAGUCCAGGGCAGACAUGAGGAACAGCAUCUC